rnacentral:lncRNA from 1 species
GUGCGUGAGGGGUAGAGAAUGGUGGAGGAUUCAGUUAGAGGUUGUUGAUGAUUGUAGAAGAAUAUCCAAGAUUCAUUGUGUAUGAGAAUUUGUUAUAUGCUGCAGAAUUGAGAGCGACGACCCCCGCUUCAAGGCCAAUCCAAUGGACUUUAUAGAGUUAUGUUGCAAUGGAUUUGGAUGAGUUUUUGCAUUUUUGCUUUUCAGUUGCCGUUUUGUUGUUGUUGCCUUUGUACGUGCAUCUUGUUACGCGUUUUAUACAGGCUCACAUUUGCCCGACGUUCACGUGUGGCUCGGCUUAAUGUCGGUGGCUCUUUGUAGUUGUGCACGGAUUGUUCUCAUGAUGUCGUUUUCAGUUUAUGCAGGUAUUUUAGCAGUUGGUGGCUCGUUGCCGUUUCGGCGCUUGGACGUUGGCUUUUGACGUGUGGACUUUUCAAUCUUUCCGCUUGUGGAUAGCAGCUUGGUGGCUUGUUGUGCUGCAUUGCAGUUGGUUUUGGAUUUAGCUUGCGGCUUAGCUCUGAGCUGUGUUUGGCGUUUCAAUUGCUUACACUAUGUUGGCUUAAGUUUUGGCGUGUUUCCUUUUCUUACAUUGUGUUGGCUUUCGUUGCCGUAUUGGCUUGUUGGUAGUUGCUUGCGCAGCUUUGUACUUUGCGUUUUGCAGCUUUUUAGCUGCAUUUGGAAUGUAGCUUUUGGCCUCCUGGAUCAUGUUUGCUGCAGGAUACCAGUUAGAAGUGGAAACAUGACAAAACUAGAUUAGUAAAUUAAUUAUGGAUACAUGGAUAUUGGCUUUUAAAACGGUUUAAUGGAUUAAAGGAAAGAAGGAUUAUGUAUUAACAUUGGAUUUUUGAUUUAGAAAUUGUAAAAAUGAUUUUUUUGCUUAUUGAAUGGAUAAUGCUUAGAGUGA